rnacentral:rRNA from 1 species
AUUGAACGCUGGCGGCAUGCUCUACACAUGCAAGUCGAACGGUAACAGGCCGCAAGGUGCUGACGAGUGGCGAACGGGUGAGUAAUGCAUCGGAACGUGCCCCGUCGCGGGGGAUAACUACUCGCAAGAGUAGCUAAUACCGCAUACGAUCUAUGGAUGAAAGCGGGGGACCGUAAGGCCUCGCGCGAUUGGAGCGGCCGAUGUCAGAUUAGGUAGUUGGUGGGGUAAAGGCUCACCAAGCCAACGAUCUGUAGCUGGUCUGAGAGGACGACCAGCCACACUGGGACUGAGACACGGCCCAGACUCCUACGGGAGGCAGCAGUGGGGAAUUUUGGACAAUGGGCGCAAGCCUGAUCCAGCAAUGCCGCGUGCAGGAAGAAGGCCUUCGGGUUGUAAACUGCUUUUGUACGGAACGAAACGGCUCUGGUUAAUACCCGGGGCUAAUGACGGUACCGUAAGAAUAAGCACCGGCUAACUACGUG